CGAGGGGCAGCGGUGGUGAAGGCUUGCCUUUACCAGCCGGCGACCGGCGCACGGGUGAGUAACACGUAUGCAACCUGCCUGCCACAGCCGGAUAAUCGGGAGAAAUUCCGUCUAAUACGGCAUAAUGCACCUAUGGGACAUCCUGUUGGUGCCAAAGGUUAAUUCCGGUGGCGGAUGGGCAUGCGUCGCAUUAGUUAGUUGGCGGUGUAACGGACCACCAAGACGACGAUGCGUAGGGGUUCUGAGAGGAAGGUCCCCCACACUGGUACUGAGACACGGACCAGACUCCUACGGGAGGCAGCAGUGAGGAAUAUUGGUCAAUGGGCGGGAGCCUGAACCAGCCAAGUCGCGUGAGGGAUGACGGCCCUAUGGGUUGUAAACCUCUUUUGCCGGGGAGCAAAGUGCCGCACGUGUGCGGUUUGGAGAGUACCCGGAGAAAAAGCAUCGGCUAACUCCGUGCCAGCAGCCGCGGUAAUACGGAGGAUGCGAGCGUUAUCCGGAUUUAUUGGGUUUAAAGGGUGCGUAGGCGGACGCUUAAGUCAGCGGUAAAAUUGCGGGGCUCAACCUCGUCGAGCCGUUGAAACUGGGUGCCUUGAGUGGGCGAGAAGUACGCGGAAUGCGUGGUGUAGCGGUGAAAUGCAUAGAUAUC
rnacentral:rRNA from 1 species